rnacentral:rRNA from 1 species
AGAGGCGGGCUGGACCUCUCGGGGUUACAGCCUUGCUGAAUUAUUCACCCUUGUCUUUUGCGUACUUCUUGUUUCCUUGGUGGGUUCGCCCACCACUAGGACAAACAUAAACCUUUUGUAAUUGCAAUCAGCGUCAGUAACAAAUUAAUAAUUACAACUUUCAACAACGGAUCUCUUGGUUCUGGCAUCGAUGAAGAACGCAGCGAAAUGCGAUAAGUAGUGUGAAUUGCAGAAUUCAGUGAAUCAUCGAAUCUUUGAACGCACAUUGCGCCCUUUGGUAUUCCAAAGGGCAUGCCUGUUCGAGCGUCAUUUGUACCCUCAAGCUUUGCUUGGUGUUGGGCGUCUUGUCUCUAGCUUUGCUGGAGACUCGCCUUAAAGUAAUUGGCAGCCGGCCUACUGGUUUCGGAGCGCAGCACAAGUCGCACUCUCUAUCAGCAAAGGUCUAGCAUCCAUUAAGCCUUUUUUUCAACUUUUGACCUCGGAUCAGGUAGGGAUACCCGCUGAACUUAAGCAUAUCAAUAAGCCGGAGGAAA